rnacentral:rRNA from 1 species
AGUGAACGCUGGCGGUAGGCCUAACACAUGCAAGUCGAACGGCAGCACAGUAAGAGCUUGCUCUUACGGGUGGCGAGUGGCGGACGGGUGAGGAAUACAUCGGAAUCUACUUUUUCGUGGGGGAUAACGUAGGGAAACCUACGCUAAUACCGCAUACGACCUACGGGUGAAAGCAGGGGAUCUUCGGACCUUGCGCGAUUGAAUGAGCCGAUGUCGGAUUAGCUAGUUGGCGGGGUAAAGGCCCACCAAGGCGACGAUCCGUAGCUGGUCUGAGAGGAUGAUCGGCCACACUGGAACUGAGACACGGUCCAGACUCCUGCGGGAGGCAGCAGUGGGGAAUAUUGGACAAAGGGCGCGAGCCUGAUCCAGCCAUACCGCGUGGGUGAAGAAGGCCUUCGGGUUGUAAAGCCCUUUUGUUGGGAAAGAAAAGCAGCAGGUUAAUACCCCGCUGUUCUGACGGUACCCAAAGAAUAAGCACCGGCUAACUUCGUG